rnacentral:rRNA from 1 species
AGAGUUUGAUCCUGGCUCAGGACGAACGCUGGCGGCGUGCCUAAUACAUGCAAGUUGAGCGCUGAAGGUUGGUACUUGUACCGACUGGAUGAGCAGCGAACGGGUGAGUAACGCGUGGGGAAUCUGCCUUUGAGCGGGGGACAACAUUUGGAAACGAAUGCUAAUACCGCAUAAAAACUUUAAACACAAGUUUUAAGUUUGAAAGAUGCAAUUGCAUCACUCAAAGAUGAUCCCGCGUUGUAUUAGCUAGUUGGUGAGGUAAAGGCUCACCAAGGCGAUGAUACAUAGCCGACCUGAGA